GGGGAAUAUUGCACAAUGGGCGAAAGCCUGAUGCGGCGACGCCGCGUGAGGGAUGAAGGCCUUCGGGUUGUAAACCUCUUUCAGCAGGGAAGAAGCGAAAGUGACGGUACCUGCAGAAGAAGCGCCGGCUAACUACGUGCCAGCAGCCGCGGUAAUACGUAGGGCGCAAGCGUUGUCCGGAAUUAUUGGGCGUAAAGAGCUCGUAGGCGGUUUGUCGCGUCUGGUGUGAAAACCCAAGGCUCAACCUUGGGCUUGCAUCGGGUACGGGCAGACUAGAGUGCGGUAGGGGUGACUGGAAUUCCUGGUGGAGCGGUGGAAUGCGCAGAUAUCAGGAGGAACACCGAUGGCGAAGGCAGGUCACUGGGCCGCAACUGACGCUGAGGAGCGAAAGCAUGGGUAGCGAAC
rnacentral:rRNA from 1 species